AAAGUACUCCCUCUGUCCCAAAAUUCUUGUCUUACAUUUGUCUAGAUACGGAUGUAUCAAGUCACAUUUUAGUAUUAGAUACAUCCGUAUCUAGACAAAUCUAAGACAAGAAAUUUGGGACAGAGGGAGUAGUUG
rnacentral:pre_miRNA from 1 species